GGGCUUAUGGGACUGAUCAACUACUGGAUUCUUGGACUUUCCAUUCACAGCUAACCAUUGUUGGAUGAGUUAGACUUGCAGUACAGCAUUCCAGAAGCAACAACAAUAUGUCACUCAUUUGACACGCAGGUAUCUGAGUGGUGACCACUGCUGUACUGUCUUCCACGGGGAGUCUACUUCCAUUCACCAGGACUAGCAGAGGGAGGGAGGAGAAGGAAGACUCAAGCGGAGCCCAACCCAGCUCUAAAAGGACUUGACCUAGGAGGAGACACUAUGGGAUCUAGCCUCCCUGCUAACCUUACAACUGGGAGUUGGAUUUUGAGAUAUUAGGAAAAAGUAAAUAAAAUCCAGGAAACAGCCCUAUACUCUGUUUGGUCACAGAGCCAUUGUUUGUGGAGGCAAUGUCAGGGGACACUUCAUGCCAGUGUCACAUCUGAGGAACUCCUAAAGCAGAAUGAGACCAGCAUCCCUCGCAAGAACAGGAAGAGGCCUAAUCUAUAGGACUCGAGGGAUGAGAAAUGAACACAAAAGAUGUAGACAGAGGUCACAUUCAGGGUCUCUCCACAGACCUGAGUGGAGGAGAAGCCCCCGUGGGAGUUUUGUUGCUUGAUGAUCCAUUUCACAAUCUUGGAUGCUGUAGACAGGUCUGAUGAAGACAGGUCCCGUGUAGGCCGGGA
rnacentral:lncRNA from 1 species